UAUGGGUAAUUGUUCACAGCCGCGGUAAUACGUAUGGAGCAAGCGUUAUCCGGAUUUACUGGGUGUAAAGGGUGCGUAGGUGGCAGUGCAAGUCAGAUGUGAAAGGCCGGGGCUCAACCCCGGAGCUGCAUUUGAAACUGCUCGGCUAGAGUACAGGAGAGGCAGGCGGAAUUCCUAGUGUAGCGGUGAAAUGCGUAGAUAUUAGGAGGAACACCAGUGGCGAAGGCGGCCUGCUGGACUGUUACUGACACUGAGGCACGAAAGCGUGGGGAGCAAACAGG
rnacentral:rRNA from 1 species